AUAAGUAAUGUGAAUUGCAGAAUUCAGUGAAUCAUCGAAUCUUUGAACGCAUCUUGCGCUCCUUGGUAUUCCGAGGAGCAUGCCUGUUUGAGUGUCAUUA
rnacentral:rRNA from 1 species